rnacentral:rRNA from 1 species
AUACGGAGGGUGCAAGCGUUGUUCGGAAUCAUUGGGCGUAAAGAGCGUGUAGGCGGUUAGAUAAGUCAGAUGUGAAAGCCCUGGGCUCAACCUAGGAAGUGCAUCUGAAACUAUCUGACUUGAGUACGGGAGAGGGAAGUGGAAUUCCUGGUGUAGGGGUGAAAUCCGUAGAUAUCAGGAAGAACACCGGUGGCGAAGGCGACUUCCUGGACCGAUACUGACGCUGAGACGCGAAAGCAUGGGGAGCAAACAGGAUUAGAUACCCGAGUAGUCC